UAGGGGUUGGGUCUUCCUCAGUCUCUAACGCCUACUCCAAGGGUACCUCAUCACCUACUGCUCACAUCCAAAGGAUUGGAUGAUCAUCGCAAGGGGGAAGGCAAACACACACAAACAUACAAUACAAGGGUGAGCUAGGUCUCAAACAAACAUACAAAUCAUGGCAAAUUAAGCUAGCAUUACCGAAAACAUCCAUUUACAUACAAGCAUNUAAGUCAUCAUGAACAUAAGCACUUAUUUCAUAAACUGAUUAAAACAAACAUCAUAUCAUGUUAAGACUCUUAGACACGUUUGGACAUAGAAUGUAUGUAGAGCUAGGGCAGGUUGUGCACUUGUGAUGGCCCCUACUGCUUUGCAAAGCCAUUGCCGAGGGGUUGCACCCGACCAUACACAAGGCUAGUCCGUUACCGCAGUAUAGACCUUCAGUGAUAGCGUCUACCCUAGGACCUCCCACUACUCCCACCACACACUUCAAUCCUCUCUACGUGAGAAUGAAAGACCGUUGGAGUGUGAGGGAUAACCCCCCAUAUGGAAGCCUCUCACAUCAUUCAAUACAAUAACUAAUCUCACCGAGAG
rnacentral:lncRNA from 1 species